rnacentral:rRNA from 1 species
CCUACGGGUGGCAGCAGUAGGGAAUCUUCCACAAUGGGCGAAAGCCUGAUGGAGCAACGCCGCGUGGGUGAAGAAGGUCUUCGGAUCGUAAAACCCUGUUGUUAGAGAAGAAAGUGCGUGAGAGUAACUGUUCACGUUUCGACGGUAUCUAACCAGAAAGCCACGGCUAACUACGUGCCAGCAGCCGCGGUAAUACGUAGGUGGCAAGCGUUAUCCGGAUUUAUUGGGCGUAAAGGGAACGCAGGCGGUCUUUUAAGUCUGAUGUGAAAGCCUUCGGCUUAACCGGAGUAGUGCAUUGGAAACGGGGAGACGUGAGUGCAGAAGAGGAGAGUGGAACGCCAUGUGUAGCGGUGAAAUGCGUAGAUAGAUGGAAGAACACCAGUGGCGAAGGCGGCUCUCUGGUCUGUAACUGACGCGGAGGUUCGAAAGCGUGGGUAGCAAACAGGAUUAGAUACCCGUGUAGUC